rnacentral:lncRNA from 1 species
AUUUCAUAAAUAAAAAAGAAAAUUUCUUCAAACAUUUUUUUGAGAGGAUUAAUAUUCAACAGCAUAGUGAAUUGCUCUAAGAGAAAAAAAAAAUUAAGUUCAUUAGAACACAUUCAUUCUGUGUCAGAAACCUAUGCUGUGUCAACUAUUUAAUCACAAUCCAAAUUUAGAGCUGAAUCCAGCUUGAAUGUUGUGUCCAUACUUGCCCCAA